rnacentral:rRNA from 1 species
GUCGAGCGAACAGACGAGGAGCUUGCUCCUCUGACGUUAGCGGCGGACGGGUGAGUAACACGUGGGUAACCUACCUAUAAGACUGGGAUAACUUCGGGAAACCGGAGCUAAUACUGGAUAAUAUAUUGAACCGCAUGGUUCAAUAGUGAAAGACGGUUUUGCUGUCACUUAUAGAUGGAUCCGCGUCGCAUUAGCUAGUUGGUAAGGUAACGGCUUACCAAGGCAACGAUGCGUAGCCGACCUGAGAGGGUGAUCGGCCACACUGGAACUGAGACACGGUCCAGACUCCUACGGGAGGCAGCAGUAGGGAAUCUUCCGCAAUGGGCGAAAGCCUGACGGAGCAACGCCGCGUGAGUGAUGAAGGUCUUCGGAUCGUAAAACUCUGUUAUUAGGGAAGAACAAAUGUGUAAGUAACUAUGCACGUCUUGACGGUACCUAAUCAGAAAGCCACGGCUAACUACGUGCCAGCAGCCGCGGUAAUACGUAGGUGGCAAGCGUUAUCCGGAAUUAUUGGGCGUAAAGCGCGCGUAGGCGGUUUUUUAAGUCAGAUGUGAAAGCCCACGGCUCAACCGUGGAGGGUCAUUGGAAACUGAAAAACUUGAGUGCAGAAGAGGAAAGUGGAAUUCCAUGUGUAGCGGUGAAAUGCGCAGAGAUAUGGAGGAACACCAGUGGCGAAGGCGACUUUCUGGUCUGUAACUGACGCUGAUGUGCGAAAGCGUGGGGAUCAAACAGGAUUAG